CAGGCGAGCUCUCCACUUCUCCACGACUUGCCGCUAAUUUGAAACUAACCUACGAAAAACGCGCAGGUGAUCGUGCGUUAUUCUUCGAGAAAACUGUCGACAAAGCUGAUCGAAGAGAUCAGAGAAAAAGUUUGGGAAACCUCAAAACUCAGAAAAUGAAUGAUGCUCAAUCAAAACACACUGUUAUUUAGCUAAAUUACUUUACUUUAGCUUUGCUUUCUUUUAAUUUUACUAGGUUUACAUGUAGCCCACACCUUAAUGCCUUCGUGAAAGUAGCCUAACUAAUAUUACUUGCAGCCGACCGGGAGAUUUCUGCAAGAGCGCACCGAAAGCCACCAAACCACGAUUUAUUUAUUUAUUUUAAACUUUGGCCAAAGUGAUUUAUUCAGGCUAAGCCGGUUUUGCCUCUCGCCGGGGUAGAUUUCCCAGCAUGCCUCGCUCCUUCCUGGUCAAGAGUAAAAGGGGCGGGGCUCACACGUCGCGCACCGCAGGGGACAGCAGCCUCUCUGGCUCCGCCCAAUCACAGAGGCCCUUCCUGUCACCACGGCGAUGUUCACUCCGGAGCCCCGCCCCUGAAGUUAACAGCCCCACCUACACUGCCAACCCCGCGGAAGGCGUUACAGAGACAACGGUUACCGGAACAACAGUUGCCAGGACAGCGGUUACCAGGACAACGGUCGCCCCAUCCACAGCACAGUUGAGCCCUGGACUGCCCUCACCCUUCAGUCCCCCGCACGUUAACCAGUGCACACACU